rnacentral:rRNA from 1 species
UACAGAGGUGGCACGCGUUGUUCGGAAUUACUGGGCGUAAAGGGCGCGUAGGCGGUCUUCUAAGUCCUGUGUGAAAUCCCUCGGCUCAACUGAGGAACUGCACGGGAUACUGGAAGACUUGAGUUCGGGAGAGGGAAGCGGAAUUCCGGGUGUAGCGGUGAAAUGCGUAGAUAUCCGGAGGAACACCGGUGGCGAAGGUGGCUUCCUGGACCGAUUACUGACGCUGAGGCGCGAAAGCCAGGGGAGCGAACGGG